UUUAGAACUCGAGAUAUGGGAUGAACACCGAACAGUGUUUAGGUUGCGGGACAAAUUCAGACUUCUUUUUUAUUGCUAGGAUUUGAACUUUAAAAUGACAGUAUUGUAUCUUAGACUCUUCAUGAAUGUUUUAGACCUAUGUCUUAGCUUUACAUC
rfam:Populus trichocarpa scaffold_4_contig_377, whole genome shotgun sequence.